UCACGUGACAUUGCAUGUGAAUUCUAAAUUAAGAAUUUUUCGGUUGGCUUAUUCCGGAAAUUCGCAUAGUUCAAUAUGGCGGACUGCAAGUUGUAAACAACGUGCUCCGAGAAAAGUACACGGGAAACGUUAUAGGAACGCUCAGCUGUACAGGUAGAUCAAGUAAAUUAGAGCGAAUGAGAGAAUAUAACAUCUUAAGAAACAGAAAACAAUAAAACCUUUUUAUGAACUAAAAUGUCUGUGUAUCGCAAACGACCAACUAGCACCCCCUAUUCCAAAGCAGACGACGCAGCUGGUUUGAAUCUCAAUCAUGAUAUGACAUGGAUGAAAUCGAAAGAGGGACGAAGAUUUGUUGAGAUGAGGAACUUGACAAAUCAGUUUAUAUGCUCUCAGUCACAGCGAUAAAGGCAAUCGUUUGUAUCUUUUCCAAAAACUUUGAAAGCGAUUGUGACUCGGUACUUUAUUGUAUCAAUACAUUAGGCCUAUAUGUAAAUGGGUCUGAUAGUACUGUACUAUUUAUGGAUUUAUCGACACUUUCCACGGGAAAUCCCGGCCCCGAAAGGAAUACGAUGGAGAGGCUUAUGAUCACUGUUGAUAUCAACUCAAAAGUAGCUCUUGCCAUCAAGAUGGUACUUUCUGGUAUAGAACCACCAUAGCAGACCAGGGGAUCUUGAUGUCAGCAUAAUAGUGAUAAUGAUAGAUUCAUCAGUACAGAGUACAAGGUAUAUGAAUGUGAAGUCCAGACCAUUCAUGCUGAUGAUGAUUCAACUACUGCAGCUCGACGGAAGAAUGAUUUUCCAUCCCUUCCAAAAAAGAGCAGGACAAGAAUCGCUUGUUGAAAAUAAAUAAUACAUGUAUAGUCAAUAGACUACUUUUCUUUGUCAGCUUUAUAUUACCGGGUACAUGUAUCUCUUGAUUGAGUGUUACAUUCAAAGUGGAAACUAAUCACUCCACAUAUAUAGAUUUUUUUUUCUUCCAUUUUUCAUAUCUAAUCUACCCUGUUUUAUGUCUGGUGUGGUAAUAGAUCACUCCACAUGCAGCCUUUCAUGUUUAAUGUACUAUGUUAUGUAUUGUAUAUGUCAGCUGCAGUAUUACACUGCUGUAGAGUGUAGAUUAUUCUUUUUUAAAAAAAAAUGUAUGCAUAAUUUAAUGUCGACUUGUGAUGUCGGGUUCAGUAAUAGGCCAAUCAACAGAUAUUCUCUAUUAUGCAUAAUCUACACUGUGAGUGUUUUUCAGGCUUUUUAAUAAGCUGCUCCAGAUAUU